GAUAAACGCUGGCGGCGUGCCUAACACAUGCAAGUCGAACGAUCCCGCAAGGGAGAGUGGCGGAAGGGUGAGUAACACGUGGGAAUCUACCUCCUCGCAGGGAACAACCUCUCGAAAGAGAGGCUAAUACCCAAAAGGGUCAGAAAUGAUCAGAGUCGAAAGGCGUGAGGAGAGGAGCCCGCGGCCCAUCAGCUAGUUGGUGAGGUAAUGGCUUACCAAGGCUACGACGGGUAGGGGAUCUGAGAGGAUGUCCCCCACACUGGAACUGAAACACGGUCCAGACGCCUACGGGUGGCAGCAGUGAGGAAUAUUGGACAAUGGGCGAAAGCCCGAUCCAGCAACGCCGCGUGGAGGAUGAAGGCCUUCGGGUCGUAAACUUCUUUAGAGGGAGACGAGAAAGGACGGUAUCCCUAGAAUAAGCGACGGCAAACUACGUGCCAGCAGCCG
rnacentral:rRNA from 1 species